rnacentral:misc_RNA from 1 species
AACGCACAUUGCGCCCGCCGGUAUUCCGGCGGGCAUGCCUGUUCGAGCGUCAUUUCAACCCUCAAGCCCCGGCUUGGUGUUGGGGCGCCCGGGUCCCCCGCGGCCCGGGGCCCCCAAGUUCAUCGGCGGGCUCGUCGGUACACUGAGCGCAGUAAAAACGCGGUAAAACGCGAACCCUCGCUCGGCCCGUCACCGGCGCGCACCAGCCGCUAAACCCCCAAAACUUUCAAAGGUUGACCUCGGAUCAGGUAGGAAUACCCGCUGAACUUAA